CUCGUAGGCGGUUCGUCGCGUCCGGUGUGAAGGUCCAUCGCUUAACGGUGGAUCCGCGCCGGGUACGGGCGGGCUUGAGUGCGGUAGGGGAGACUGGAAUUCCCGGUGUAACGGUGGAAUGUGUAGAUAUCGGGAAGAACACCAAUGGCGAAGGCAGGUCUCUGGGCCGUUACUGACGCUGAGGAGCGAAAGCGUGGGGAGCGAACA
rnacentral:rRNA from 1 species